rnacentral:rRNA from 1 species
GCUAGGAUGAACGCUAGCGACAGGCUUAACACAUGCAAGUCGAGGGGCAGCAUAGAAGUAGCAAUACUCGGUGGCGACCGGCGCACGGGUGAGUAACGCGUAUGCAACCUACCUAUCAGAGGGGAAUAACCCGGCGAAAGUCGGACUAAUACCGCAUAAAACAGGGGCACCGCAUGGUGAUAUUUGUUAAAGAAAUUCGCUGAUAGAUGGGCAUGCGUUCCAUUAGGUAGUUGGUGAGGUAACGGCUCACCAAGCCGACGAUGGAUAGGGGAACUGAGAGGUUGGUCCCCCACACUGGUACUGAGACACGGACCAGACUCCUACGGGAGGCAGCAGUGAGGAAUAUUGGUCAAUGGGCGGGAGCCUGAACCAGCCAAGUCGCGUGAAGGAAGAAGGAUCUAUGGUUCGUAAACUUCUUUUGCAGGGGAAUAAAGUGCAGGACGUGUCCUGUUUUGUAUGUACCCUGAGAAUAAGGAUCGGCUAACUCCGUGCCAGCCGCGGC